AAGAAGAAGCCCAAAUACAAUCUGCCCUUGCCCAGUAUACAUACAAGGUCAGGGGACAACACUGGUUUUCAUCUUGUAGUUCAACUUGUUUUAUACACAGUUUAAAGGGAUAGUUCAUCCAAAUUACAAAAUGACUUAAGUUACGUUUACAUUUCAUUUCAAAUCCAAUGCAUCCAAAGUGUACAUUAGUCUUUCCUGGUUCAUAACAUAUUUUUUGGUCCCUUUCAGAUCACAGCCAUGUCAACAGUGGGCGUCAGGCUUGUAAGAGACAUGAAUUAUCUGUGAGAUUCAGUGAACAAGGCUAGAAGGACUGGGUAUUGGCUCCUACGGGUUACUCUGCCUUCUACUGUGAUGGAGAAUGCCUCUACCCUCUGUGUUCCUGCAUAAACUCCACCACCCACACUAUGAUCCAACUAGUGGUUUGUUGAACAUGAGUGGAAAUGAAACUCCAGCACACUGGUAGCACUAAAGACGUGUGAGUAUAACUUUUCCAGGUGAGUUGAACCUGCCUGUGGGUGCAGUGGGGAUAUUCCUGGGAGGUCUACUGAUGAAGAGGUAUAAGCUUGGCGUUGUGUCUGGAGCCCAGCUGUCUUUCGUCACCUCCUUCAUGGCCUACCUCCUCCUCCCUCUGCAGUCUGGCACUAAGUGUGACAACGUUCAGGUGGCUGGUCUGACCGUGUCCUACAACGGGUCCCCUGGUGUACGAUGGCAGCCUGUUGUCAGAGUGUAACAGAGACUGCUACUGCUUGGCUGGGGAGUGGGACCCUGAGUGUUCAGACAACGGCAUCACUUACACCUCCCCCUGCCUCGCAGGCUGCUCCAGCUUUACAGGUUACGGCAAGAACACGUACCAAUACUAUUAAUGUACUGAGUGUACAAAACAUUCACAGGGAUGCUGGCCCAUGUUGACUCCAAUGCUUCCCACAGUUGUGUCAAGUUGGCUGUAUGUCUUUUGAGUGGUGGAC